CUACGUGCCAGCAGCCGCGGUAAUACGGAGGGUGCGAGCGUUAAUCGGAAUAACUGGGCGUAAAGGGCACGCAGGCGGUGACUUAAGUGAGGUGUGAAAGCCCCGGGCUUAACCUGGGAAUUGCAUUUCAUACUGGGUCGCUAGAGUACUUUAGGGAGGGGUAGAAUUCCACGUGUAGCGGUGAAAUGCGUAGAGAUGUGGAGGAAUACCGAAGGCGAAGGCAGCCCCUUGGGAAUGUACUGACGCUCAUGUGCGAAAGCGUGGGGAGCAAACAGGAUUAGAUACCCUGGUAGUCCACGCCGUAAACGUUGGGCACUAGGUGUGGGGGACAUUCCACGUUUUCCGCGCCGUAGCUAACGCAUUAAGUGCCCCGCCUGGGGAGUACGGCCGCAAGGCUAAAACUCAAAGAAAUUGACGGGGGCCCGCACAAGCGGCGGAGCAUGCGGAUUAAUUCGAUGCAACGCGAAGAACCUUACCAAGGCUUGACAU
rnacentral:rRNA from 1 species